rnacentral:rRNA from 1 species
AUUGAACGCUGGCGGCAUGCUUUACACAUGCAAGUCGAACGGUAACAGGCCGCAAGGUGUUGACGAGUGGCGAACGGGUGAGUAAUGCAUCGGAACGUGCCCAGUCGUGGGGGAUAACGCAGCGAAAGUUGCGCUAAUACCGCAUACGAUCUAUGGAUGAAAGCGGGGGACCGUAAGGCCUCGCGCGAUUGGAGCGGCCGAUGUCAGAUUAGGUAGUUGGUGGGGUAAAGGCUCACCAAGCCGACGAUCUGUAGCUGGUCUGAGAGGACGACCAGCCACACUGGGACUGAGACACGGCCCAGCCUCCUACGGGAGGCAGCAGUGGGGAAUUUUGGACAAUGGGCGCAAGCCUGAUCCAGCAAUGCCGCGUGCAGGAAGAAGGCCUUCGGGUUGUAAACUGCUUUUGUACGGAACGAAACGGUCCUGGUUAAUACCCGGGGCUAAUGACGGUACCGUAAGAAUAAGCACCGGCUAACUACGUGCCAGCCGCCGCCGUAACAC